AAAAUUAAAUGUCCAAAGUCCAUAUUACAGUGGCCCAGAACCAUUUACAAAGACCUAACCCUCCAGCCCCAAUACAUACUAAACCUAUAUGGCCCAACUUAACCUAACCAGGUUGCACAAGCCCAACACUCAAUAGCCCACUGCAUUUUAGGAAACAGAAACCCUAGGGUUUCUAAUUCCCCUUUAGCCUCUAGCCGCCGCAACAGUGGCCUCCCACACGCGCGCCUCCACGCCACGCUCCCCCGUAUGGCCGUGCCUGCGCAGCAAACAAAAACAACGCAGCACAGAAUAACAGCAAAAAAGGACAAAAAAAUAUUAAGAAAAAUGUAGAUUUUUUAUAUUUUCUUUUUUUCAUUUUUGGCUAUAAAGGCCGAUUUAGGAAAUUGUAAAUGGGUUACACGCACACAAUAUCAAUAAAAAAAAAUCAAAAGACAAGAAGACUGAGUUUUUGAAGGUAAUUUCCUUCUUCAAAGUUUUUUUCUUUUCUUCUAUCUUUUUGUUCUUGUUUCUUUUUUAUAUACUUAAAUAAAAAGAGAAAAAGACGAGAAUCUUACCUUCGCAAAGGCACGCCGACGAGGCCCUGUUUACUCCGUUCAGAUCAGAGUCGGAGGGGGUUUCACAUUCGGAGGCGGCAGAGGGGAAAGAUUCAAUUUCUUAGAUCUAUUUAAAGUGGC
rnacentral:lncRNA from 1 species